GCUUGGGUGGCUGAGUCAGUUAAGCAUCUGACUCUUGAUUUCAGCUCAGGCUCAGGUCAUGAUCUCACAGUUGUGAGAUCAAGCCCCACCUCAAGUC
rnacentral:tRNA from 1 species